CGGAGGAGCAUGUGGUUUAAUUCGAUGAUACGCGAGGAACCGUUACCUGGGCUCGAACGUAGGAUGACUGUAGGUGAAAGCUUACAUCUCUUCGGAGCAUUUUACGAGGUGCUGCAUGGUUGUCGUCAGCUCGUGCCGUGAGGUGUCGGGUUAAGUCCCAUAACGAGCGCAACCCUACCUUUAGUUGCCAUCAGGUAAUGCUGGGGACUCUAAAGGAACUGCCUACGCAAGUAGUGAGGAAGGCGGGGAUGACGUCAAAUCAGCACGGCCCUUACGUCCAGGGCUACACACGUGCUACAAUGGCCGAUACAGAGGGCAGCUACCUGGUGACAGGAUGCAAAUCUCCAAAGUCGGUCUCAGUUCGGAUCGGAGUCUGCAACCCGACUCCGUGAAGUUGGAUUCGCUAGUAAUCGCGCAUCAGCCAUGGCGCGGUGAAUACGUUCCCGGGCCUU
rnacentral:rRNA from 1 species